GCUACAAUACGUUCAUAUCGUUUACGGUCAUAAAAGUCCAGUUUCUGCAGAUGACAGCUGAAUGAAUCACUUAACAGCACAAACAACCGACACACGCUGUGAUAAAGUGAAGGAAUCGACUGACACGCGACUCACCUAGUAAUGGAUGUUUGGACUGUUACACUGCAGCAGAAGCAUGUGGACAGACAUUCACUGUAAUGAUGGACAUCUGCUCAUGCACAGGUCCACCUGUCCUCCAUCCCCCCUCUUAGUCCAGCCUUCAUCUCUCAUCUCUAUUACUACUUCAGGAAAUUAGUGCAGAGAUCUACAGUAUCACUUCUAGAGCUGGACGAUCCACAGGCUUCAUCAGUCCACAGUCCACAUCUUGAUUAACUCAUUCUAAGCUACAUCCUCACAUCAGGACCACAGAGA